UGUCUCAAAGGUUAAGCCAUGCAUGUGCCAGCUCAAGUUGCUAAGACCAAGCUGUGAAUGGCUCAUUACAACAGUUGUCAUUUAGUUAAUUGUAUGCUUAAAUGGAUACCUCUGGCAAUUCUAUAGCUAAUACAUGCGUUGUUUGCUGACUUUGUGGAAGGGUUGUUGUUAUAUGCUUCAAAACCAAUGCAAGUUCUCUUGUGAAAUGGUUAAUCAAUGUAGCGUCAUGAAUUGUGUAGCUGUGCUGACAAUAUAUUUUCAAGCAUCUGACCUAUCAGCUGUUGAUGGUAAGAUAUAGGCUUACUGUGGCAAUGACGGGUAACGGAGGAUUAGGGUUUGAUUCCGGAGAGGGAGCCUUAGAAAUGGCUACCACAUCUAAGGAAGGCAGCAGGCGCGUAAAUUACCCAAUCCUAACAAUGGGAGGUAGUGACAAGAAAUAACAAUACAGGGCAUCCAUGUCUUGUAAUUGGAAUGAAUAAAGCCUAAACCAUUUUAUAAGUAUCAAUUGGAGGGCAAGUCUGGUGCCAGCAGCCGCGGUAAUUCCAGCUCCAAUAGCAUAUAUUAAAGUUGUUGCAGUUAAAAAGCUCGUAGUUCGAUUUUUUCUGUGGGCGGCCUAUCUGCCCUCUGGGCAUGCAUAUGGUUGCCCAUUGUUUUGAGUGGAAGACAUGUUUGCACUUGAUUGUGUGAUGUGAACGCCAACACAUUUACUUUGAGGAAAUCAAAGUGUUUCAAGCAGGUUUUUGCCUUGAAUACAUUAGCAUGGAAUAAUUGGCAUGGCUGUGGCUGUAUUUUGUUGGUUUCAAGCCAGGGUAAUGGUUGAUAGGGGUAGUUGGGGGCAUUAAUAUUUAAUUGUCAGAGGUGAAAUUCUUGGAUUUAUUAAAGAUUAACAACUGCGAAAGCAUUUGCCAAUGAUGUUUUCUUUGAUCAAGAACGAAAGUUAGGGGAUCGAAGACGAUCAGAUACCGUCCUAGUCUUAACCAUAAACAAUGCCGACUAGAGAUUGGGGCCUGUCCUUCAAAUGACAUCUUCAGCACCUUUCGAGAAAUCAAAGUCCUUGGGUUCUGGGGGGAGUAUGGUCGCAAGUCUGAAACUUAAAGGAAUUGACGGAAGGGCACCACCAGGAGUGGAGCCUGCGGCUUAAUUUGACUCAACACGGGGAAACUCACCAGGUCCAGACAUAGCAUGGAUUGACAGAUUGAUAGCCCUUUCUUGAUUCUAUGGGUGGUGGUGCAUGGCCGUUCUUAGUUGGUGGAGUGAUUUGUCUGGUUAAUUCCGUUAACGAACGAGACCUUAGCUUGCUAACUAAUUGCACAUAAUGUGUUUAUGCGUCUAAUUUCUUAGAAGGACUUUGUGUUACUAACGCAAGGAAGUUCGAGGCAAUAACAGGUCUGUGAUGCCCUUAGAUGUUCUGGGCUGCACGCGCGCUACACUGAUGCAUGCAACGUGUAUGUGGCCUAACCUGGGAAGGUGUGGUAACCUUGAAAAGGCAUCGUGAUGGGGAUAGCUUAUUGCAAUUGUUGAUCUUUAACGAGGAAUUCCUAGUAAGUGUAAGUCAUCAGCUUGCACUGAUUAUGUCCCUGCCCUUUGUACACACCGCCCGUCGCUCCUACCGAUUGAGUGAUCCGGUUAAUUAUUUGGACUGUGGCACCCUUUGUCUUGGAGGAUGCUUAUGGAAGAUUCAUGAACCUUACCACUUAGAGGAAGGAGAAGUCGUAACAAGGUUUCUGUAG
rnacentral:rRNA from 1 species